GGUGGUGCAUGGUUGUCGUCAGCUCGUGUCGUGAGAUGUUGGGUUAAGUCCCGCAACGAGCGCAACCCUUAAGCUUAGUUGCCAUCAUUAAGUUGGGCACUCUAAGUUGACUGCCGGUGACAAACCGGAGGAAGGUGGGGAUGACGUCAAAUCAUCAUGCCCCUUAUGAUUUGGGCUACACACGUGCUACAAUGGACAAUACAAAGGGCAGCGAAACCGCGAGGUCAAGCAAAUCCCAUAAAGUUGUUCUCAGUUCGGAUUGUAGUCUGCAACUCGACUACAUGAAGCUGGAAUCGCUAGUAAUCGUAGAUCAGCAUGCUACGGUGAAUACGUUCCCGGGUCUUGUACACACCGCCCGUCACACCACGAGAGUUUGUAACACCCGAAGCCGGUGGAGUAACCUUUUAGGAGCUAGCCGUCGAAGGUGGGACAAAUGAUUGGGGUGAAGUCGUAACAAGGUAGCCGUAUCGGAAGGUGCGGCUGGAUCACCUCCUUU
rnacentral:rRNA from 1 species